GAGAAUGAGUACUAUAAGGGGGUUAUAUAGUAUAAAAGUGGAGACUUUUGGGCAAUGCUUUUCCGUGAUAAGCUUCAACGAGUUCUCGUGGGAAAUGAUCAAAUUGGGUUCGUGAAAGCUUUAAUGGAGACAGCAUCAAAUUUGUAAAAGUAGAAGUUUUGAUAUAAGGAGAAAAUGAGUGGCUUCUGAAAAAAGCAACAGCAAGCAAAUGGAAACAAAAAGAUUAUUUUUUAUAUUUUGAGUGAAUCUUG
rnacentral:lncRNA from 1 species